CCAGCUAGAUGCAAAUGACAUUUUCUCAUUUCAUUAUCUAAGCUAGCUAAUAAUUUCCUGGAGAUUUUAGAUGGGCAACAGUCGAGUCAUGAUCUUUCUUAAGCUUAUGGAGGUAAGGAGCAGUUACAUUGGGACUGCAUGAAAACAAGCAACAAUAUUUGUUUUGCAGUCUUCCUGAUCUGAAUUUGUGAAAUUGAGUUCUUGACUUGGAUGAAGCACUGCAGAAGGGACUUUGAAAGCACUCUGACAAAGAGAUGGAGAGCUGGAGUCUGUUCCCACAAAAUCAGCAAUAAAACUGACUUCAAUAAGCACAAGGUGAGGUGGGGAAUGACUCGAUGCAGUGGCACCCCGCUGGUUGCAGUGACCUGUUUCAGUGGGCUUGAAAGCCAAUUUUCGAGGAAGACAGACUCCAUCCUGCUUUGCCAUCAAACUGAGGUCACACAGAGCCUAUGCAGGCUACAGGAUCAGACACUGAGAACAUCUAAAUUUUUUUGUAGGCUGAUCACAUUUUUCAAGUGCAAACAUUGAGGCACUUCGAAAAUGAAUUGCAUAUAAGCAAUUUAAAUAAAUUAAGAUCUGUAGCUUACUGGUAUCUCACUAUUUUUUAAUGUAAUUGAUAGCAUAUCAAAUGGAUUGCUCUUCUAAGAUAGGUGAAUUAUCAGAGAGAUGGCUGUUAUCUACUACAAAUACUUUUUUUGUUAUGAGCUAGGUUUAUGAAGGUCAGCCAUGCUGUGAUGUGAGUGACUGUUGAAAAUAUUAGAGAUUUCUAACCUGUACUGUUCCUGCUAUUAUUAUAAGAAUUCUAUAAACUGUAAUAAAUUGUAAUGCAUACUCAACCUUUCACUUAGUUUUGAUGGUGUGUCCCCUCCACUGAUACAGCAACUGGAACAUGUGGCAAACCAGAAAAGUGAAUUUUUUCUGUUCAUUGAAGAUAUAGGGUGAAAUGACUGAGAGGUUAAAUCCCAGUUUGAGUUACAAGUCAAGUGAUACAACGAAAAAUUUCACUUUGAUGAGUCAGAUCUAAGAAUGUUGCUGUAACGAAGGAUAAUUAUGAUGACAGAAAUUAAGGACAGAAUUACGAUAAUUGAAAACUCUGUUGUGGCAGAUAUUAAAAGACCCUGGAGUUCUGGGGCUGUUAAACAUUACCAUUAAAAUCCUGGUAAUUAGAAAUACUUAACAAAGGAUGGGUGAACAUUUAGCAAAACAAAAGCUUAACUAUUAGUUUCUGAUAAUCCUGUUAAAUUGCACACUGUAUUUAUUACAUGUUUGAGUCUUCUGUGACUGAGACUGUUUGAUGGCAUAGGUGGUUUCCAGCAUCUAAACCUUCCAUCUUAAAUCUCUGGAAAUAGAUUUAGCUACAAAAAAAAACCAAACAAAAGGAGAGAGAAGAAAAUACCAGGAAAGCUCUUGUGCUUCAGCCCAUUGCUCUAAUCAAGCACAGACACGAUAAGAUAUAUGAAGGUCUAAUUCCCAUGAAAGUUUGCUUGUGACCCUGUUCUUUGCACUGUAUGACUGAAAUGUCUCAGUUCCUGCACAGCUGCCUAAAGUUCAUUUCAGGCUGAUCUCGUGGCUGUAUAAUGUGCAUUAUUCCACUCUCUUUUGUGCAUUAUUUGGGUGCUUUUUCUCUAAAAGAACUGCUUAUAUUUUCUAUUUUGAGAGAUCUUCUUAGUUUACCUAUCCUUGGGUUACAGAAAAAGCUGCUUCUGAUCACCUGUGUAGAGAUCAAGUGCAGGAAAAGGUCAUCCAAAAGACCAAGGACAUGUAAGAUUCAAAGCUCCCAUCCAAAGGCAGAAACACCACCAAACUUUUGAUGUGGUUUACUACUCCUUUGUGGGAUCCUACUUCAUGACAGCCCAAGAGCCAGGAGAUGAGAUGGUGUUUGCAGGUAUGGCCAGAAGAAAGAAAAGGACACAAUAUAGGUUGCAGAAAAGAGAUGGAAGAGAUUCAGCAAAUAUAAUGAAAUAUCUGCUUAGAAGGGGCAGAAACAAAGAAAAAUUAAAUGUUACAAGAGCUGAAAAAGAAAGGGACAGCUUUUUGCUGGUAAAGAGCAUGAGUAAUUAGGUUAUCCUACAUAAUCUGUGGAGAAGACUGGAAAUUCCAGAAGGAGAUAAUGACACUACCAGAUCAUGGCUGGAAUGCAGCUUGUAGGAAAUUGAAAUUUCUGGAAAAGAGAUCUUUCAAAGAAAUAUUUCUUCCUGCUU